rnacentral:rRNA from 1 species
CCUACGGGAGGCAGCAGUAGGGAAUCUUUCACAAUGGGCGAAAGCCUGAUGGAGCAAUGCCGCGUGCAGGACGAAGGCUUCGGGUUGUAAACUGCUUUUAUAAGCGAGGAAUAUGACGGUCACUUAUGAAUAAGGAUCGGCUAACUACGUGCCAGCAGCCGCGGUAAU